AAUAAACGCUGGCGGCGUGCCUAAUACAUGCAAGUCGAGCGAGAAGGUGUAGCAAUACACUUGUAAAGCGGCGAACGGGUGAGGAAUACAUGGGUAAUCUACCAUCGAGUGGGGAAUAACCAACCGAAAGGUUGGCUAAUACCGCGUACGCCUCCGAGUCUUCGGGUUCGGAGGGAAAGCUGCACUGUGAGUGUAGCGCUCUUUGAUGAGCUCAUGUCCUAUCAGCUUGUUGGUAGGGUAACGGCCUACCAAGGCUUUGACGGGUAGCUGGUCUGAGAGGACGAUCAGCCACACUGGCACUGCGACACGGGCCAGACUCCUACGGGAGGCAGCAGUAAGGAAUAUUGCGCAAUGGGCGAAAGCGUGACGCAGCAACACCGCGUGAG
rnacentral:rRNA from 1 species